GACGUAGGGCGCGAGCGUUGUCCGGAUUUAUUGGGCGUAAAGAGCUCGUAGGUGGUUUGUCGCGUUGUUCGUGAAAACCGGGGGCUUAACCCUCGGCGUGCGGGCGAUACGGGCAGACUUGAGUACUGCAGGGGAGACUGGAAUUCCUGGUGUAGCGGUGGAAUGCGCAGAUAUCAGGAGGAACACCCGUGGCGAAAGCGGCUCUCUGGAACGGAACUGACGCUGAGGCGCGAAAGCGUGGGGAGCGAACAGG
rnacentral:rRNA from 1 species